rnacentral:lncRNA from 10 species
CACACAUUUGUUUGCCUGAUUCCCAGCUCUCUUAGGAUAGGUCUUCUUGGGAAAUGCUUUCAUUUCUAAUGCAAAGAAAAUUGUGCAGGCAGCCACGUUAAGAUGUUUUUCUGACAAUAAUCGGCCAAGAUAUUCCACUGUGUCUCGAGGCCACUCCUGAAAAGAGGAAGUUUGUUUUCCUGUUGUUCUGACAGGAAGAGGUGGAUCUACUUCAUCAACAUGCAGUACCAAAUUGUUAGGAUACAAGCUAAAAA